CCGGCAGCCCAAUAGGGGGCCGGAAAGCCGGGGACGCAGGUUUCCGACGCGUCUCCUUUCCAUCUCGCUUUACGGAGGAUUUGGUUAUGAGAA
rnacentral:sRNA from 1 species